rnacentral:rRNA from 1 species
UGAGGAAUAUUGCGCAAUGGGGGCAACCCUGACGCAGCGACGCCGCGUGGAUGAUGAAGGCCUUCGGGUCGUAAAAUCCUGUCAGGUGGAAAGAAGUGCAUGGUGGCUAAUACCUGCUGUGCUUGACGGUACCACCGAAGGAAGCACCGGCUAACUCCGUGCCAGCAGCCGCGGUAAUACGGAGGGUGCAAGCGUUGUUCGGAAUUACUGGGCGUAAAGCGCGCGUAGGCGGUUUGUUAAGUCAGAUGUGAAAGCCCAUGGCUCAACCAUGGACGUGCAUUUGAAACUGGCGGACUUGAGUAUUGGAGGGGGUGGUGGAAUUCCCGGUGUAGAGGUGAAAUUCGUAGAUAUCGGGAGGAAUACCGGUGGCGAAGGCGACCACCUGGCCAAAUACUGACGCUAAUGUGCGAAAGCGUGGGGAGCAAACAGG